rnacentral:tRNA from 1 species
CAAAAUGUAGUUUAAAAAAAACAUUCCGCUUACACCGGAAAAAAAUCUGACAGGCCAGAACAUUUUGA